rnacentral:lncRNA from 1 species
CGGAAUACAGUAAAACCUCAGGUUAUACCGUCAGAAACCCUAGAAGCUGAUAGGUCACCCAAAAUCAACCAACCAAAAUCAUCAUAAAAUCUUUCCAGAAUGUUCAGGAGAUGAAAAUACACUCGGAUAUCAGGAUGAGACACUCAGAAAAGUCUCCGAUAGGUUGAAAUNNNAGAAUACAGUAAAACCUCAGGUUAUACCGUCAGAAACCCUAGAAGCUGAUAGGUCACCCAAAAUCAACCAACCAAAAUCAUCAUAAAAUCUUUCCAGAAUGUUCAGGAGAGGAAAUACACUCGGAUAUCACGAUGAGACACUCAGAAAGGUCUCCGAUAGGUUGAAUUCUUCAUCGACCAUGAGGUCUCAGAAAUCACCCCCAAAAACCUCGAAACAGACUUCAUCCAAGACCACGAAGCACAUAGAAACAUGAUCGGAUCAUCG